CCGACCUUCCUGAAGAAGAGAGAGCAAAGAAGCUGGCUUCCUGCUCACGGCAUCGCUUUCGCUACAUCCCACCUAAUACUCCUGAGAAUUUUUGGGAGGUUGGGUUCCCUUCUACACAAACUUGCAAGGACAGAGGUUACAUCAAAGAAGAACUUUCGCCUUGUCAGCGUCCACGAAGAAGACAACCUUACAGUUCAAUGUUUUCUACAAAGGCAAAGGAGCAGAAGACCUAAGUGUACAUUUGAUUUCUGCACAAUUUUAAAUUAAGAUGUGUAUGUGAAUCUGUCAUUUUGUUUUGUAAACAGGAUUGCACAUUUUUAAAACAUGAGCUACGCGAUGCACCUAUAGUUUAAACUCUUAUUUCUGUUUAGUUUCGGUAUGUGCAUUCCAUGUUUCAGUUGUGGAAUAAUUAACCGAAUGUAUAGGACAUGAAAUGUCUUUACUGAAUUAAUAAGAAUACAUAUCCUCUCUUAGUGAUAUGCUUCAGAAUACCAGUGGCAAACAUAACACUUGAUAGUAUACCCUGUUAGGUUACAAACGUUGGAUCAUAAAGAAGAAUGAAAACAAAAAAGUUUCUUUCAUUAUUGUCUAAACAUAAUAUUUUUUUUAAAAAAAAUAUUCUAUUAUCAAAUUUGCUUCGUCCUCAUGGUAUUCUUUGUUGAAGAGCAUACCUAGGUAGCGUGCACUUGUCUGGAGCACUACACAACUGCAAAAGCAGAUGCCAUCUAGUGCUCUUGCAAAACUGAGCCAACCUACCUGCUUUUCAACAAAGGGUAUUAAGAGAAUGCAGUAAAUUUCAUAAAAGAACUAAAGUGAAUAAUUAAAUAAAAAUGUUGGGUUUUAUGUCCCUUUACUUAUGACUGUAAUUUAGUUGUAGGUUCUGUGCAUGUAUUCUUGAGCAUUCUAAUAUUAAGCAUGCAAGAUAGAUAAUCAAGAGGAAUGUGUAGGAGGAUUCUAUACAGUUUAACCACUAGACAAUAAAGAUGGUGUAUGGCCGCUAAAAUACAAGAAUAUAACACAAGAUCAAACCUCUUCAUAUGAAUGUACAACCAGCAGAUACAUCCAAUACCAUAAAGCACGGGCAAGUGUAAGUCUAUAAUUUAUAGAAUGAAGAUAUUGCUGCAUUCUAGUGCUGUAUCAUAGCAACCAAUGGUGAGGGAUAUGGGGAUAUAGUAAUAAAACCCACCUCUAUUUGUAAGUAUAGUUUUGAAUUUACAGAAAUCACAGAAAUAAUUCCUGGUGCAUAGCCGUUUCAAUUUUUACACUGACUGCUAGAUAAAUAACUUAAAUUCAAUCAAUGUUUAUAAUAAAAUUUUAAAUAUACACUAAUAUUUAAUUUGUAUAUUGACUUUUGUACGUAUAUAUAUAUAUUUUUUUUAUUUUGCACCUUUUAAAACUAGCUGGGUGCUUUGUUUUGCACUGUUUGAAUUAAAGUCUGUUUUCGGUUUUCUUUUUAUGUUUGUAAAAGAGAUGACCUUAAAUUGUAAUAUUAAAAAUGUGAACUAUGCCAUCA